rnacentral:rRNA from 1 species
AGUGAACGCUGGCGGUAGGCCUAACACAUGCAAGUCGAACGGCAGCACAGUAAGAUCUUGCUCUUACGGGUGGCGAGUGGCGGACGGGUGAGGAAUACAUCGGAAUCUACUUUUUCGGGGGGGAUAACGUAGGGAAACUUACGCUAAUACCGCAUACGACCUACGGGUGAAAGCAGUGGAUCUUCGGACCUUUCGCGAUUGAAUGAGCCGAUGUCGGAUUAGCUAGUUGGCGGGGUAAAGGCCCAGCAAGGCGACGAUCCGUAGCUGGUCUGAGAGGAUGAUCAGCCACACUGGAACUGAGACACGGUCCAGACUCCUACGGGAGGCAGCAGUGGGGAAUAUUGGGCAAUGGGCGCAAGCCUGAUCCAGCCAUACCGCGUGGGUGAAGAAGGCCUUCGGGUUGUAAAGCCCUUUUGUUGGGAAAGAAAAGCAGCAGGUUAAUCCCCCGAUGUUCUGACGGUACCCAAAGAAUAAGCACCGGCUAACUUCGUG